AUCAGUUAUUUUCUUGAAACUUAAAGGAUUUGGCGGUAUUCAAGUCUAGUUAGAGGAACCUGCUCAAUAAACGAUAUGCCACGAAGUAUCUUACUUUUAUUUGAUUUCAGUAUGUAUACCGCCAUUAAUAAGUAAUAUUAAUAAAUAUAUACUGUAAUAGAUUUAUUUAGUAUAUUAGGUCAAGGUGCAGCUUAUAUAAAAGUUGUUGUGGGUUACAUUGUAUUAUAAAUAUACGGAUAGGAAUUUUAUAAUUUUCUUCAAGGUGGAUUUAAUUGUAUUUUUGUUUUAAUAAGACAUUAUGAUAUUAGCUCUAGGAUAUGUACACAUUGCCCGUCGCUCUC
rnacentral:rRNA from 1 species